ensembl:lncRNA
GGAAGUUUACAUACACUUAGGUUGGAGUCAUUAAAACUCGUUUUUCAACCCCUCCACAAAUGUCUUGUUAACAAACUAUAGUUUUGACAAGUCGGUUAGGACAUCUACUUUGUGCAUGACACAAAUCAUUUUUCCAACAAUGGUCAUGACUCGUUUCAUGCCUCAGGUUGGGACCAACAUGGUUGAGUAUCUGAACCAGGUGGAGGUGACCAGACCCUAACCAUUUGUGUUGGCUCUUGGGGACAGGUGUUUACAGUCAUUAGUGGAGCUGCAUUGGAGCAACGUACACUGCUUGGGACACUGGAUGUGUGCUUCAAGUCCUAUUAUGCUUGAUAUCAUCUUUCCAACUGUGCCCCAGCAUGGGACUUCCUACAGGCCACGGUGUAACAGCUACCAUGGACAGAAUCCCUGCAGUAAGACUGUUGCGAGUGUCUUCCACUGAACAAUAGUUAAUAAGUAUCAUGCUCUUGUAUGUACUGUGAGAAGUGACAGGGAGAAGGACAGGCCUCUGGGUAAUGUCUUCCUGUGAAUUAAUAGAGCAAUGAAUGGAUGAGCCAUCAAUACUAAUAUGCUCUUAAGGCACUAUUUAUAGUUCUGUUAAAUUGACUUUUAGUUCGUUUCUGUAUGCAUUUUAGCCUACUUUUGGAAAACAGUACAGUAUGUGGCUUGUUUGCCUUUAGUUCAACUACUGAAGCGCUUUCUGGUACGCUUCCAUUCCAUCACAACAAUUUAUUUGAAAUACAAAUGUUACAUUUUGGUGAUUGUGAACAGUGCUUUUUGAAUGAAAUGCAAAUAAGUCGACAGGUAGCCUAGUGGUUAGAGCGUUGGGCCAGUUACCGAAAGGUUGCAAGAUUGAAUCGCUGAGCUGACAAGGUAAAAAUCUGUCUUUCUGCCCCUGAACAAGGCAGUUAACCCACUGUUCCUAGGCUGUCAUUGUAAAUAAUAAUUUGUUCUUAACUGACUUGCCUAGUUAAGUAAAGGUAAUAAAGUCACUAGGCCAUGUCCUUAGUAGUGACCUUCAAAUGUUAUAUUUUACACUUGUUUUGUGUAUUAAUGUUUUAACUCAACUGAAAUGUACACCAUUAUCGUAUGUCAAAACAGCAGUGUGUGUGUGUGUGUGUCCUGUCAAAUAGAUAGCUGUAAGUGUGUCAGUGAAAUACUAUUGAUUAGCUCUGGCACUGCCUGAUAGACAGAUCUGUGUUAAUAACACUUAAGACGGACAGACUGUCGCACGCAUGCUUUUCCGAUUGCAAUCUGAGUGUGCACAUCAAGUUCAGCUGAGGCUUUAGUCUGAAGUUUGGACAGUUUGGU